UAUAUAGUAUACACAAAGAGGUACGCGAGAAGUACCCGGAUGACCUACUUAUUGGGCAGCCAUGUUUGAGUAUGCAAGCGAUGCACACUUGUGGUCCGUUAAUGUAUCCCAUAAUGCAACUGGAGCUGCGUAGGCGUUCGAAGCGGAAUAAGAAACAAGAAAGAUGGCGGAAAACGGAUUCCUCUGUUUACAAGUAUGAGGCUCUACAGUACAAACACAGCAGCUUCUUGUUCUUCUGAUGAUGUUUAAUGGCGGUUGGCAGAACAACUUAAGACGCACCAGCGCCACCAACUGGACUGGAGUUGAACAGCAGCUUAGCAUGUUACAGAGUCCAGUGGGGUGAUUCCCUAUUCUGUAUAAUGUUUGAAUCAGAUGCUGAUGUUGCCCUGUGUAUUGGAAUAUGACUGUAGUGACUUCUAUGCUCAUUAUAUCAUCA